rnacentral:lncRNA from 1 species
UUCAUCAUCCUCAGAACCAGAAUCACCCCCAUAUGUUUCUAUCUCCUCUGACCCAGAAUACUCUGACCCUGACUCCCCAACCAUAGCUCAGAUUUUUGCUCAAAAAUUCGCUUCACAAUAACCAACAGAACCUGAAAUAACUUCACCACCACAACAAACAACUACCCUUACUUCUGAAAUACAACCUUCUGGAGACCAACCCUCUGACCAUCUCACUUCUGAUAU